rnacentral:lncRNA from 13 species
AGAAUAUGCAGCUGUCAUCAGACAACCUACUAGCACCUUGAUCAUGGACUUCCAGUCUCUGGAAUGCCUCGGGUAUUCAUCAGGCAACAAGGCUCCAUUUAGACGCCAGGACUGAAGAAAUGCCACAGAUCCAUUAGGAAGCUGACUCGGCCCAGAGGUCACAGGUCGGCACACUAUGCAGCCCUUAGAUUGCUCAGUGACCCAAGUGGAUCACAGCACUCUGACCUCUUGAACCUAAGUUCACCAUCCAGGCCUCCCAGGAUUAUCAUCAGCACAUCCAAAUGAGACACAUGCCAAGGGGGGUCUGCAAACACCGUGAACACAGCCCUCGCUCUCCCACCACGGCGAAA